rnacentral:rRNA from 1 species
CAAUAGCGUAUAUUAAAGUUGUUGCGGUUAAAAAGCUCGUAGUUGGAUUUCUGCUGAGAACGACCGGUCCGCCCUUUGGGUGUGUAUCUGGCUCUUUCUUGGCAUCUUCUUGGUGAACGUUGCUGCACUUGACUGUGUGGAGCGCUACCCAGGACUUUUACUUUGAGGAAAUUAGAGUGUUUCAAGCAGGCAUACGCCUUGAAUACAUUAGCAUGGAAUAAUACUAUAGGAUUUCGGUUCUAUUUUGUUGGUUUCUAGAGCUGAGAUAAUGAUUAAUAGGGACAAUUGGGGGCAUUCGUAUUGACGAGUCAGAGGUGAAAUUCUUGGAUUUCGUCACGACGAACUACUGCGAAAGCAUUUGCCAAGGAUGUUUNCAUUGA